UACGAAGGGGGCUAGCGUUGUUCGGAAUUACUGGGCGUAAAGCGCGCGCAGGCGGCUAUCCAAGUCAGUGGUGAAAGCCCGGAGCUCAACUCCGGAACUGCCAUUGAAACUGUUUAGCUUGAGGAUGAGAGAGGUGAGUGGAAUUCCCAGUGUAGAGGUGAAAUUCGUAGAUAUUCGCAAGAACACCAGUGGCGAAGGCGGCUCACUGGCCCGGUACUGACGCUGAGGUGCGAAAGCGUGGGGAGCAAACAGG
rnacentral:rRNA from 1 species